rnacentral:rRNA from 1 species
UACGUAGGGUGCAAGCGUUAAUCGGAAUUACUGGGCGUAAAGCGUGCGCAGGCGGUGAUGGAAGACAGAUGUGAAAUCCCCGGGCUCAACCUGGGAACUGCAUUUGUGACUGCAUCGCUGGAGUGCGGCAGAGGGGGAUGGAAUUCCGCGUGUAGCAGUGAAAUGCGUAGAUAUGCGGAGGAACACCGAUGGCGAAGGCAAUCCCCUGGGCCUGCACUGACGCUCAUGCACGAAAGCGUGGGGAGCAAACAGG